CCCUCCGGGAGAGCUCAGCCA
rnacentral:misc_RNA from 1 species